rnacentral:rRNA from 1 species
AGUGAACGCUGGCGGUAGGCCUAACACAUGCCAGUCGAACGGCAGCACAGCAAGAGCUUGCUCUUACGGGUGGCGAGUGGCGGACGGGUGAGGAAUACAUCGGAAUCUACUUUUUCGUGGGGGAUAACGUAGGGAAACUUACGCUAAUACCGCAUACGACCUACGGGUGAAAGCAGGGGAUCUUCGGACCUUGCGCGAUUGAAUGAGCCGAUGUCGGAUUAGCUAGUUGGCGGGGUAAAGGCCCACCAAGGCGACGAUCCGUAGCUGGUCUGAGAGGAUGAUCAGCCACACUGGAACUGAGACACGGUCCAGACUCCUACGGGAGGCAGCAGUGGGGAAUAUUGGACAAUGGGCGCAAGCCUGAUCCAGCCAUACCGCGUGGGUGAAGAAGGCCUUCGGGUUGUAAAGCCCUUUUGUUGGGAAAGAAAAGCAGCAGGUUAAUACCCCGCUGUUCUGACGGUACCCAAAGAAUAAGCACCGGCUAACUUCGU